rnacentral:lncRNA from 1 species
AAACUGAUUGAGGUGCCUCUUGGGAAGAUGGAAGCAAACGAGAUACAUUCAUACACAGUUUUCAGCUACAGUGAGUGAUGUCCACCUUGAAAGAGUCUUGGACUCUGGAGAAUAAUGUGCACUGGACAUUCUUGAUGUGGUAAAGAUCGAUGUGUGCUCAAUCUCACGUGGGAACAGCCAGAAGACACCGAAAGGAAGAGUUGCACAAACCCAACGAUCAGUGGAUAUAAACACCUUGAAAGCCACUCACGAGACAAACAUCGAACAGCCAGGAUUCUGGUAGAAGUCACUCCACUCAGCACAUCCUGCGCACAGAAACCUUACUCUCCUCGGCCAAGUCUUACAAUCGUGAAUUUACUUCCUUCACAUUUGCUUCUGGAGGGUGGAGGGAGGCCCAUAAGGUUCAGUAAAGAAAGGAAACUUACAGGAGUGAACAGACUCAUAGGGGCUAAGCAAGCUCUUUAGAAUUAACAAAAGUCACAAGUCUCCUCCCCAAAGUUAUGUAUUGAGUAAUGAUUGCUAAGGAGAGGCAAUUGCCUAAGGAACAGAGUUCUGGUUGAACUCCAGAGACUCAUGCAUUUUCAGGAAUCAUCA